rnacentral:rRNA from 1 species
CAGAGUUUGAUCCUGGCUCAGAUUGAACGCUGGCGGCAUGCCUAACACAUGCAAGUCGAACGGUAACAGAACUAGCUUGCUAGUUGCUGACGAGUGGCGGACGGGUGAGUAAUGUAUAGGAACUUGCCUAGUAGUGGGGGAUAACGGGUCUGAGAGGAUGAUCCGCCACACUGGUACUGAGACACGGACCAG